CCGUCGAUAGCUCAGUUGGCAGAGCGGUUGACUGUAGAGGAAGCGACUGCUGUCAUCCAUAGGUCGCUGGUUCGAAUCCGGCUCGACGGA
rnacentral:tRNA from 1 species